rnacentral:misc_RNA from 1 species
UCCGGUUUUUCACCGGCAGUCCCUCUAGAGUGCUCAGCUUAACCUGGUGGCAACUAAAGGCAGGGGUUGCGCUCGCUGCGGGACUUAACCCAACAUCUCACGACACGAGCUGACGACAGCCAUGCAGCACCUCGACUAGUGUCCCUUGCGGGAGGUUCUGGCUUUCGCCAAAAUUUCCUCUGCAUGUCAAACCCAGGUAAGGUUCUUCGCGUUGCCUCGAAUUAAACCACACGCUCCGCUGCUUGUGCGGGCCCCCGCCUAUUCCUUUGAGUUUUAACCUUGCGGCCGUACUCCCCGGGCGGCGUGUUUAACGCGUUAGCUGCGACACCGACGAGCUAGGCUCGCCAACGUCCAACACGCAUAGUUUACGGCGUGGACUAC